rnacentral:misc_RNA from 1 species
GUGAAUCAUCGAAUCUUUGAACGCAAAUUGCACUCUCUUCUGAGAGUAUGCCUGUUUGAGGGUCAGCCUCAAAAAAAUCUACGUAGUCCCUGUUUCGCUUUGACAUUCGUCUUAAAUUGGGUCAUCUUAACCCUUUGGGUUUUUUAAGCGGCUUAAAAUUUUCUUUACUAUUCCACGAACGUUUCUACGAUUUUACUUCUUACACACGUUUACGGUAUCGAUCUUUAUUAGCCGUUGCCGUUGCAUCGGAUCGCGUCCAUCACUAUUUCUUUAACUUCCCUCAUACC